UCGACUGAAAUGAGAAAUCUGUUUAAUUGUUGGGUGCUUAGAAGAAAUGCAGUAGGUGAUACGGCCAAAAUAAUUACAUCUCUAAUAUUCACGGUUAUCUGCCUAUUCAAUCUAUCACACGUACAAAGAUCAUCGCCACUUUCAAGCAACUAAGCAACUUUCUCACUCUCUUUUUAUUACAGGCGAUUUGGAUUGGUUCAGUUUGCCU